GUUCCUAGCAUAACUUGAAAUGUAAACUUGCGGUCUAGCCUAUUAUCUGCUAUGAUUAUUUAGACCAGAUUUCACUAAACAAAAUGCAUGUCCAUCUCUUACGCAUAGAUAAGCAUAAUAAAACCAAUAUCGAGAGACGGAAACGAUGACACUCAACAUGAACACUGAUCUUAAGAUAUUGAACUAAACGUGUUUAUAAUUUACAAUUGAAUUGAACACUCAAAUGUUUAUGAUAAUCGAGCACCUAAACUAUUUCAAUUUUGUUAUUUGUAACUAAAACAUGUGCUUGACAAUCGAUUACCACAACCUGUAAUGCAAAUGUUCACUAUUGUACCCUGAUGUCGCUGUUGUGGCGCACCAAGGAGAAUUGUUACUUUUGUGCACACCAAAAAUAAAGAAUUUUAAAAAAAAAA